GAACAGUGAGGAUAUAUGCUCCUUUGUGGCUGAAUAGGGUCGGCCUCUUUAUCUGAUUCAUUAGAUGAAAUACAGGUGCUACUGAGUUC